ACUCACUAUUACAAGAACAGAAAGGUUCUUGGUUCAUGGUUCAAUCAGCUCCUACCAGGCUCCUCCUCCAACAUUGGGGAUUACAAUUCAACAUGAAAUUUCAGCAGAGACACUGACUCAAAUCAUAUCAGCAGAUGGGAGAAUAUUCUAAAUGAAUUAUUAACCCAGAAGAAUUUAAGAAAAUUUCAUUGCACCCAGGAGAGGAAAAAAAAAGAAUCCAUCCUCCUUCUUGGUGAAGGGGAUAGGAAAUACGACCUGUCUCACUUUGAUCCAUAUUGAAGGCUUCGGAUUUCCUUCAUUCUCCAAGUGAUGCAAAACCAAGAUUCUCACCUAAGUGCUGAAACGACCUCAUAGCACAAAGGGGAGACAGAAAUUUUAAAAGGUAAUUAUGAAACAUAAAACAGAUGCUAAAAUGAAUAGAUGGGCAUAGACCUGUGGGACUGCAAAGCAAAACAAAUUAUUAAGGGUUUGAUGGUCAGUGUUAUCUAAACAUUGUGUAAACUUUUAAAUGUUUAUGAAUCCCAUCUCAGAGGUGUAACUAAUAUUUGUUUGUGUGUGUGUGUGUGUGUGUGAUACACUGAGCAACUGUAUACCACCUAGCAAGUGGCAUUCUUGCUUAGCGACUUACACUGGCCUGUUUACUCACCCUGCUGUAAAGAUCUUCAUUGUCCUUUCCGAAGGAUGUAUUUCUUCCUUACUCUACCCAUGGUCAGUAUAUAACCUUCUGGUAGUUCAAGCUGUCUGCAGCAAAAUCCUCUAAGGAAAGAUGGCUGUCUAACUCUUUUCUUCAGUCUUUGAGGUAUUACACAGCUCUCAGCUCUCUGUGGGCCCUUUAUCCGGAAGGCAGUCUUGGCUCCAAAGCAGGCAACAUUCUUGUAUCUGUGCACUGCAAUUCUAGUCUGCCCCUGUAAGUAAAAACACAUUUAUACUCUUUUUCUUAUAUGGAUAAUUCUUCUCCAAAAGUAUAUAACACCCCAAUUGUUCUUUGGUUCACUUUUAUUUCUGCUCAAUGAGCACAGGAGAGUAACUUAAGAUCACAGUCUCAUUUGUAACCAAAGAAAGGACCUCUCGUCUCACAAGGUCAUGGUAAAGAAAGAACAAGACGAUUAAAUGGAACUUAUUGUAAAAUUAUAUUAUAGUCCAAAAGGGAAAAUAUGGAGUGAUUUAUUAGUAAUCUUCUCACCCAAAGUUUAGAAAAAGCACUUUAGUAUUAGUGGCAAAUACUUUUAUAUUAAAUAUAGCCAUGCAUAUUUUAUGGAAUGUUGUUAUCAGCAGAUUAGAAAAUACAAUAUAAAAACAUGACAAAGAUAUCCAUUCUAAAUUAAUGUGGAAGAAAGAAAUAAAAUGAACUAUUUGAAUAUGACAAGGCAGCCCACAGGGUUUUCUGUGUGACACCUUUAGAAAUCUUCACAAGGAAAAUCAUGGCAAGUUUAAGAGCACUGCAGUGUAAAAAGAAAAAACAAAGACCAGUCACAAAAGAAAAUCGAAGUCAUAUUACACUAACAAUAGCUAAAUAAAGCUAAGUCCAGUGUUUAAAACUUACAAAGCCAUGAGAGAGGCAAGAACUAGCCUCAGUAAAAUACAGAUGCUGCACGUCUGCUGAAAAUUGGAUAGAAGCAUAUUUACUCCACUGUUUUCUGUGGAAUGUACUGAAAACAAUAAAAGUAACAGAACCUACGUUUUUUAAAAUAAUGAAACAUAUAAAAGAUUUUCUUAAAAAGGUCAAAAUAUGAAUAACCCUGUUUUGGAAUAUAAAGUCUCAAUAUUCUGAAGAUGUCAAUAAACUAUUUUUAACUUCAAUGCAUUUAUCAUAAAAUUUUAACAAAUGUGUCACUCUCUUUGUAAGUGAUUCUAGCAUUUCAUCUGGACAACUAAACAGGUGAGAAAAACAAAAAAAAAAUCUAAAAGGGAAGAUGAUUAAGGCAGACAUUACCAGUUGUAAAAUAAAUUUGCAUUAUUAAAAAUUAUAUAAUAUAGGUAAGCACAUUUAUAUAUUCCUAGUUAGGAGUAUAAAUCAAGAUAUUUCAAAAAGUAGAGUCACCAGAUUUUAUGGGAACUUACUGUCUACUAAAGAUGGCAUUCCAGUCAAUGGAGAAAAUAUGAAUUAAUUGUUAUAGUAAUAGAAAAACUGAGUAGCCAGAAAACAAUAUAAAUUUUCUUAGAGCAAAUAUCAUUUGAGCUGGAUGACUGAAUUACAUGUAUAAAGCAAAACAUGAUAAUGUGAAAACAAGCUAACAGAUAAAGUUGCUCCAGAGGUAAAUGGACGUAUCGCUUUGAACAAAAAGUAAAAUCCUGAUUUAUAAAUGUAAUUAAUGUAUCUGUUAAAAUUCUUUGUGUUAUACACAUUAGAAACUUGACUAACCAAAACAAGAUAAUAAUUGGUGAUAAAUAAUUUAAUUGAAGGAAAAGCUAAGAAGGCAAGAGGACAACCUAAAAAUGUUCAGGGUACAUUUACAUGACUCAGCUGCAACAGUUUCCAAAUUUGAUAAUUUAAAUUUCACAAUUUCAGAAGAGAAAAUCUAACGACCCAGUCUCAGUGAAGUGCCUUUGAAUAAAAAGUUCACUGUGGUGGAAAUGGGGUCCUCUGGCUACUGAUAGCGUGUCCCAUUUGCUGAUGUGAUAUCCCUGGACACAUAUGUUUGUAAGCCAGGAUUAGCCUUGGAUUCUAGAACAAGUUUUAAAUAAACAGCAUCACAAUAAAUGUAAUUGAAAAGUCAAAAAACAAAUAUAAAA